rnacentral:rRNA from 1 species
AUACGGAGGGUGCAAGCGUUAUCCGGAUUUACUGGGUUUAAAGGGUACGCAGGCGGUAAUUUAUGUCAGUGGUGAAAGCCUACAGCUCAACUGUAGAACUGCCAUUGAAACUGAAUUACUUGUGUAUGGUAGAGGUAGGCGGAAUACAACAUGUAGCGGUGAAAUGCAUAGAUAUGUUGUAGAACACCGAUUGCGAAGGCAGCUUACUAAACCAUUACUGACGCUCAUGUACGAACGCGUGGGGAGCGAACAGGAUUAGAAACCCUAGUAGUCC